GACGUAGGGCGCGAGCGUUGUCCGGAUUUAUUGGGCGUAAAGAGCUCGUAGGCGGCUUGUCGCGUCGAAUGUGAAAUUUUAGGGCUCAACCCUGACAUUGCAUUCGAUACGGGCAGGCUUGAGUUCGGUAGGGGAGACUGGAAUUCCUGGUGUAGCGGUGAAAUGCGCAGAUAUCAGGAAGAACACCAAUGGCGAAGGCAGCUCUCUGGGACGGUACUGACGCUGAGACGCGAAAGCGUGGGGAGCGAACAGG
rnacentral:rRNA from 1 species